AUGUCAUGAUAAGGGUACUUCCGAAGGACGUCUCUGAAUCCUUCCCAAGCCUCAUGAAAAGGCUCACCAGGCUCUUGAGCAAAACGAGUAAUAGCAUCUCGAUAU